AUGCAGGUAUAUGACCAUUUUACUGUAUUAUAACAGUCAUUAAAUUUGGAUUAUCUCUUUCAGGUGAAGAACAGCUCUGUGGGGGUUAACUCCAGUGCAUGGAUAGAACAAGAAAGAAGAAAUGAUCGGAUUGCUGUACGCGGAAAAGAAGAAACAAUAAGGAACAGUCUGGAGAAUGAAUGACGUGUUUACCAGCCCUAAGGCAGCAGAGACAACGAAUGAUUCGGGCGGCCCCGUCUCCAGCGAUUUGCAUGGAUUCCGAGCGAUGACCAGGUCCAUCACAGCCGCUUUCCUGAGAUCCAUCAAGCAUGCAAAUCUCGCAGACUGCGGACGACUGGAAUAGAAUCAGAGCGGGCUGCACCAAUUGACAGCCAGAUUCUUGGUCGAUCAGAAGUGGCCAUCCAUCGUUGUGUGUGUGUGUGUGUGUGUGUGUGUGUGUGUGUAGCUGCUGCUGCUGUUGACACGCAGUUGCUGAAGCGGCGGGGAAUGAAAUCACGAAAUGGAUGAUACGUUGCUCCAGGAGUUACAGAUGCUUUUUUAUAUUCUUCAAUGAACGUUUUUUUAGAUUUCUGUAAAAGAAAACUAUUGAGAUGUCCACUUGUCUGUCCCGUCCGCACUUUUGUCUAUCCGCCCUCAGAUCUUAUAAACUGCAAAGGCUAGAGGGCUGUAAAUAGGUAUGCUGAUCAUCCACCCUCCAAUCAUCAAACAUCCCAAAUUGCAGCCCUCUAGCCUCAGUAGUUUUUAUUUUAUUUAAGGCUUAAUUUAGCCAUGAUCGUGCGACUGGCGACGAUUUUACGGCAGGCCAACACCGGGAUGUGGUUAAGUUUCACGGGCCUCGGCUCAUACAUACUCAUACCGAGACCACCGAAAGAUGACCUUGAAUAUACAUUGCACAGAAAACUCAUUGGUGCCUUUUUUUUUUUUUUUUUUUUUUUAAGAUUGUCAAUAAACAUUUUGAAGACAGGACGGGUAAGUCUUGUAGCAAUGAUACAGACCAGCACAUUACUUUCCACUAUACCACAGAAGUCUACCAAUCCCCGAAGCUCAGCAACACAGGGUCUCCUCAAGUCAAACAAUUCCAGCCACAGCUGA